rnacentral:tRNA from 1 species
CAGAUGUAGUUCAAUGGUAGAACGCCAGCUUCCCAAGCUGGACACGCGGGUUCGAUUCCCGUCAUCUG